rnacentral:rRNA from 1 species
UACGUAGGUGGCGAGCGUUGUCCGGAUUUACUGGGCGUAAAGGGCGUGCAGGCGGUUUGUUAAGUGCAGGGUGAAAGCUCCCGGCUCAACUGGGAGAGGUCCUUGCAUACUGGCGAACUCGAGGGAGGCAGAGGAAAGUGGAAUUCCCGGUGUAGUGGUGAUAUGCGUAGAUAUCGGGAGGAACACCUGUGGCGAAGGCGGCUUUCUGGGCCUUACCUGACGCUGAGACGCGAAGGCGUGGGGAGCGAACGGG